GAUUUUCUCUUACUCACACUUAGGAUUUCAAUUUCAACCUUCUUAAAUCUCUCCCAGUAGUAUCGCACAUUCUUCUCAUCUUCUUUACCAUGUACGUUUCGCUUUUUCUACUCUAAUAUUUCAUCUCUUAUGUUCUUUCUUUUUUAUCUUUCAUGUUACUAUUUUCUCUUCCAAUUACGUUUUUAUUGCACAUUUCUUCUCAAUCCCGCAUCUCAUAUGUUCUUUUUUUCAUCUUCUCUAAUCUCUCAUCUCAUAUGUUUUUUAUGUUUUAUUAUAAUGU
rnacentral:lncRNA from 1 species